rnacentral:lncRNA from 1 species
GAGCAAAGGACAAGAGUCCACUGCAGGAGCCCGCCGGCCUCUCCGUGCCUGGCAUGGGGCGCUUACACCCAACUGGGCAGUGACCCCGGGUGCCCGUGUGGACCCUUGGGGCCGCCCGGGGCUCCUCCCUGGACUUGGAGGGCAUGGGCGCCCUGCUCACCUCCUCGCUUCUCGUCUCCCCAUGAUUGGGCCCACUCCCUGAUCUGCUUGUGUGCGGACUUGCGCCCUGUCUUUGAAGGAGGGUGUGCGACCGCUUACCCAUCUUCCAGGCCUGUCAGUGAACAGACGGCACCUCGCCCCGAGGACCGUCCCCCGAGAGCAGGAGGCUGUUCUGCAUCCUUCUCUGAUGCAGAUUCUCCUGUGUCCGGGUCAUAGCACAGCGUCCCUGAGUCCUGGCCGUUCGGGUGUUCUCAUUCCUGGUCUACACACCCCCACCUGGACGCCCAGAGAAGUAAAGAAACUUGUCAGAGUCACACAGCUGGUUACUGGCGGAGCUGGGGUGAGCCCUGCGCAUCCCUCUGCUCCUCUGCCUUUGUUCAGGAAGCUGCGGGGGCCAAGGGGGCCACCUGGGCCCCGGUCCUCCCACCUUUGCAGUGGGGAGACUCACGCUGUGCGCUGCCCUCCAGCUCUGAGCACGCCGCCCGGAAGCCAGGAGGCUGAGCUUCAUCGGCUCCACCCCAGUCGGAGCGUGUGCAGCCUCCACGUGCCUGUUCCCAUCUGAACAGAGUUGAACAACCCACCGUGGACGUCAUCUGUCUGCCGCCGCACAGUAGAACAUUUCCUGGUUGUACAGGAACCGUCCAGAUCUUUGAGUUUAGCGCAGGUUUUGGUCCCCUAGAUGGCCGUCCACGUUCCUCGACUCUGUCCGGCUCCCCAGGCACACCUCUUCGGCAACUGCAAUUGCCCUGAGCAGAGGACAUCGGUUGCAAGGGCCCCUGGAGCUCGCAGACGUUGGACCCUGGGCAGCCUUCCGCUGGGGUGCCCUUCAAGAGGCUCACCCCAGGCCAGCCUCACAGAGCUGGACGGCCAUGGCCUCCUCACUGCCCCAGGGCUCCAGCCCCCCGCCCUGGGCAUUGCAGGGGCUGUCAGGGCCUGCUGAUCUGAG